rnacentral:snRNA from 1 species
AUACUCCAGUUACCCUUCAGAUCAUAUACAUCUUUCACCUUUUGCUAAAGAUUUCCAUGAAGGGGAACCAAUCUGAGUCUUAACCCAAUUUUUUGAGGCCCUGUAUCUGAAGAGCU